rnacentral:rRNA from 1 species
AUAGCGUAUAGUACCGUGAGGGAAAGGUGAAAAGAACCCCGGGAGGGGAGUGAAAUAGAACCUGAAACCGUGUGCCUACAACCGGUCAAAGCCCCUUAUGAGGGUGAUGACGUGCUUUUUGUAGAACGAGCCAACGAGUUACGGUAUGUAGCAAGGUUAAGUACUUAAGGUACGGAGCCGAAGGGAAACCGAGUCUUAAUAGGGCGACUAGUUGCAUGCCGUAGACCCGAAACCGGGUGACCUAUCCAUGGCCAGGUUGAAGCGAGGGUAAAACUUCGUGGAGGACCGAACCACGUUGCUGUUGAAAAAGCAUGGGAUGAGCUGUGGAUAGCGGAGAAAUUCCAAUCGAACUCGGAGAUAGCUGGUUCUCCCCGAAAUAGCUUUAGGGCUAGCGUCGGAUAUGUGUAGUGGAGGUAGAGCACUGAAUGGGCUAGGGGGCAUAUCGCUUACCGAACCUUAUCAAACUCCGAAUGCCAUAUACAUUAAGUCCGGCAGUCAGACUACGAAUGAUAAGAUCCGUGGUCAAAAGGGAAACAGCCCAGACCGUCAGCUAAGGUCCCAAAGUGUAAGUUAAGUGGAAAAGGAUGUGGGAUUUCAAAGACAACUAGGAUGUUGGCUUAGAAGCAGCCACUCAUUUAAAGAGUGCGUAAUAGCUCACUAGUCGAGAGAUCCUGCGCCGAAAAUGUACCGGGGCUAAACUUACCACCGAAGCUACGGAUUUGCAAGUAAUUGCAAGUGGUAGGGGAGCGUCGUAAUCGGGCUGAAGUCGUACCGGAAGGAGCGGUGGACUGAUUACGAGUGAGAAUGUUGGCAUUAGUAGCGAGAUGUAGGUGAGAAUCCUACAGGCCGAAUAUCUAAGGUUUCCUCAGGAAGGCUCGUCCGCUGAGGGUUAGUCGGGACCUAAGCCGAGGCCGAAAGGCGUAGGCGAUGGACAAUCGGUUGAUAUUCCGAUACCACUACCAUCGUUAUUAUCGAGGGUGUGACGGAGAAGGAUAGUGUGUGCUAGCGAUUGGAAAUGCUAGUCUAAGCGUUUAGGGAGUUACGGUAGGCAAAUCCGCUGUAACAAUUCUGAGGCGUGAUGGGGAAGGUCAUUAAGACCGAAGUACAUGAUUCCAUGCUUCCAAGAAAAGCAUCUAGAGAGAGAAGUAGUGCCCGUACCGCAAACCGACACAGGUAGAUGAGGAGAGAAUCCUAAGGCCGGCGGAAGAAUUGCAGUUAAGGAACUAGGCAAAUUGACCCCGUAAGUUCGCGAGAAGGGGUGCCUGCGAGAGCAGGCCGCAGAGAAUAGGCCCAAGCAACUGUUUAGCAAAAACACAGGUCUCUGCUAAAGCGUAAGCUGAUGUAUAGGGGCUGACGCCUGCCCGGUGCUGGAAGGUUAAGGGGAACACUUAGCGCAAGCGAAGGUGUGAACUUAAGCCCCAGUAAACGGCGGCCGUAACUAUAACGGUCCUAAGGUAGCGAAAUUCCUUGUCAGGUAAGUUCUGACCCGCACGAAAGGCGUAA